CUCCGGGAAUCCUGUCAAUUCCUCUCUUGCUUAGCCUUGUCAUGUCACAGUCUAGAGUUAUAAAAGCAAGGACGUGAGUCCGGACCCUGCCUUCUCCCUUUCCCAAAGCAGCAUGACCUUGACCCUCCUGAACCAAAAGAGAUUAUAAUCUGGUACUGAAAUACUUGCACAGAAGCAAUGAGAGGAGAUGGGACCUGACCAGCUCACCUAGCUAUUUAGCUUAUUGUCCUCAGACUCACAGGGCGAUGGACACAAGGACCGCCUUGGGGCUGUUGACCGUUGUCACCGAUGGUGAGUUCUGUUCAGGACUGUCGCAUACUCCUAACCACAGUGCUCGGGAGAGAAUACCACUGUACCCCCGGAGCAAUUCCAGUGACCCUCCAGACGGGGAGCCUUCCAAGAUGCUUGCUGGGUAAAUAAA